ensembl:lncRNA LINC01943 long intergenic non-protein coding RNA 1943
AUUUAAGCUGAGAUCUGAAUGAUGUCCAGGAGCCAGUCAGCAGCAUUCCAGGACAAGAGAGCAGCUGUCGCCAAGACCCCAAGACACAAAGGAACAAGCUUCUGGGUCGAGAAAGGCCAAGUUGCACACUACUGAGAGACUGCCAUGCA